CGGGGUGUAGCGCAGCCUGGUAGCGCAUCUGCUUUGGGAGCAGAGGGUCGUGAGUUCGAAUCCCACCACCCCGACCA
rnacentral:tRNA from 8 species